GCAAGAACAAGAAGACAGGAUCGAAGAAGAAGGCUUCUGAAAAAGGAAAGUAUUUCCACUGUCAGUCAGAAGGCCAUUGAAAGCGAAACUGUCCUUAGUACCUGGCCACCCUGAAGAACAAGAAGGAUGGUCCUUUUGGAGGUAUGCUCAUUAUCGAAUCUAAUCUUACAGUUUCUUUUGCAUCCAGUUGGAUGCUUGACUCUG
rnacentral:lncRNA from 1 species